UAAUUUUGUCUGUAGGAUUGGAA
rnacentral:siRNA from 1 species